rnacentral:rRNA from 1 species
AUGCGAUACUUGGUGUGAAUUGCAGAAUCCCGUGAACCAUCGAGUCUUUCAACGCAAGUUGCGCCCAAAGCCAUUAGGCUAAGGGCACGCCUGCCUGGGUGUCACAAA